GUUAUGAAAUUUUAUAUUGAUUUUUUGUUGAGGUUAUAAUUAGCGGCACAUUGGGAUUUUUUUUAUUUGUUUACCAAUAUCAUUUACUAUUAUUAGAUAUUUAGUGAUAUUUGUUUAGUAAUGUUUAACAUAUUAAUUAAUUUAAUUUCAUAGGUUGUGAUUUUUGUGGUGAGAUUUUAGAGAGUAUUUUGCAUCAAAAUUCCAAUAUCAAUCACACAUUUGAGCGAAUUUGAUUACUAAGUGAAGUAACUUUGCUAGCUUUUGGAUUAAAGAUUGCAAGAGACAUAGGAGAAUAUAUGGAUAAACAGUGGAUGUCAGCGAAUAGGUUAUCUGCGGAAUUUAGGAACGGGGUCGAUUUGUUCUUAAGGUUUUGUUUGGAAAAUGUGAAAGACCCAAAUUUUACUUAUUGUCCAUGUCUUAAGUGUGGAAAUGUUAAAAAGAUGGA